rnacentral:rRNA from 1 species
AUUGAACGCUGGCGGCAUGCCUUACACAUGCAAGUCGAACGGUAACAGGUUAAGCUGACGAGUGGCGAACGGGUGAGUAAUACAUCGGAACGUGCCCAGUCGUGGGGGAUAACGUAGGGAAAUUUACGCUAAUACCGCAUACGAUCUAAGGACGAAAGCGGGGGACCGUAAGGCCUCGCGCGAUUGGAGCGGCCGAUGUCAGGUUAGGUAGUUGGUGGGGUAAAGGGCUACCAAGGCGACGAUUUGUAGCUGGUCUGAGAGGACGACCAGCCACACUGGGGCUGGGACACGGCCCAGCCGCCUCCGGGAGGCGGCAGUGGGGAACAUUGGACACUGGGCGUAAGCCUGACCCAGCCAUUCCGCGUGCAGGAUGAAGGCCCCCGAGUUGUCAACUGCUUUUGUACAGAACGAAAAGGUCUGGGUUAAUACCCUGUGCUCAUGACGGUACUGUAAGAAUAAGCACCGGCUAACUACGUGCCAGCAGCCGCCGCAG